ensembl:miRNA MIR452 microRNA 452
GCUAAUCACUUAUAACUGUUUGCAGAGGAAACUGAGACUUUAUAACUACGUCUCAGUCUCAUCUGCAAAGAAGUAAGUGCUUUGC